GAUUAACGCUGGCGGCGUGCAUAACACAUGCAAGUCGAACGAUGAAACUUAGUAGACUUCUUCGGAAAGACACUAAGCGGAUUAGUGGCGAACGGGUGAGUAACGCGUGAGUAACCUGCCUUACACAAGGGGAUAGCCUUUGGAAACGAAGAAUAAUACCCUAUAAAACCAUAAAAGCACAUGCUAGAAUGGUCAGAGUGAUAGCGGUGUAAGAUGGACUUGCGUCUGAUUAGCUAGUUGGUGAGAUUAAAGCUCACCAAGGCAACGAGCAGGAGCCGGCGUGUGAGCGUGUACAGCCGGAUUGGGACUGGGCCCCGGCCCCGACUCCUACGGGCGGCAGGAGUGGGGGAUUUUGCACAAUGGGGGUAACCCUGAUGCGGCGCCGCCGCGUGAUUGAGAAGGCCUUCGGGUUGUAAAAAUCUUUUGUAUAGGAAGAAAAUGACAGUACUAGACGAAUAAGGUCCGGCUAAUUACGUG
rnacentral:rRNA from 1 species